AUACGUAUGUCGCAAGCGUUAUCCGGAUUUAUUGGGCGUAAAGCGCGUCUAGGCGGCUUAGUAAGUCUGAUGUGAAAAUGCGGGGCUCAACCCCGUAUUGCGUUGGAAACUGCUAAACUAGAGUACUGGAGAGGUAGGCGGAACUACAAGUGUAGAGGUGAAAUUCGUAGAUAUUUGUAGGAAUGCCGAUGGGGAAGCCAGCCUACUGGACAGAUACUGACGCUAAAGCUCGAAAGCGUGGGUAGCAAACAGGAUUAGAUACCCUGGUAGUCCACGCCGUAAACGAUGAUUACUAGGUGUUGGGGGUCGAACCUCAGCGCCCAAGCUAACGCGAUAAGUAAUCCGCCUGGGGAGUACGUACGCAAGUAUGAAACUCAAAUGAAUUGACGGGG
rnacentral:rRNA from 1 species